UACGUAGGGUGCGAGCGUUAAUCGGAAUUACUGGGCGUAAAGCGUGCGCAGGCGGUUAUUUAAGACAGAUGUGAAAUCCCCGGGCUCAACCUGGGAACUGCAUUUGUGACUGCAUCGCUGGAGUACGGCAGAGGGGGAUGGAAUUCCGCGUGUAGCAGUGAAAUGCGUAGAUAUGCGGAGGAACACCGAUGGCGAAGGCAAUCCCCUGGGCCUGUACUGACGCUCAUGCACGAAAGCGUGGGGAGCAAACAGG
rnacentral:rRNA from 1 species